CAGGAGCAGCCAAACACCCACACGGCCCCAGUGCCAACCUUCACUGCUUUUGCAGGAUUUGAUUUGUUGUUUCCUUAGAAAACCAGGCUGAGCUCCCAGCACCAGAUCAUUUUCAACCUCUCUGUCUGAGAAAGAAAAGGCUUUGUCCCAAAAAGUGAAUAUUUCCAGUGGCGCUGGAAAUGCCAAGUGGUGCUUGGAUUCUCUUUAUUCCUCUUUAUCUUUCUGCAGGAGGAAGCCUGUCCAGGAGCAGGGUUGGACACUUGGGUGCUGCUGCUGAGGAGGAUGAAUCCACACCUGUGCCCGGCAGCCUUUAACCAAAUUUGGAUGUUCUGCUCUACAGGAUGAGCGUGAUUGUCCCAAUCCACGUGGUGGAGCUGCAAGGCCGUGGUUGACAAAUCAUCGUGUGUGGCUGACCCAGCCAAGCUCCUCCUCUCUCCAUGGCCGUGUUUUCCAUCUGUUCUGGCUACUCCACCUAUUUUUGAAGAACCCCUGGGUUUGCUGUACUGGACACAGGGCUCCACACAGGAGUGAAUCCCUUUGCUUUUGUCAGCGAGGGAGAGAUGAGAAGCCUCAGCAAAACAGGAAGAAAUGACAAGAUGUGGCCUUAUUGGGUCACCAGCCCUGGGGCACAGGGAUUGCUUGAGAUGGUAUUUUUUAAAGCAGCACCAUCCAAAGGUCACUGAGAGUGUCAGGCCUGAG